UUUUCUCCAUUGUAUAUUCUUUCCUCCUUUGUCAAAGAUAAGGUGUCCAUAAUCUGAUUACUACCCACAUUGCGGCGAGGAGAGAACGUCAGUUGUCUUAGGCCAGUGUUCUGCAGUUUCCUGUCUAGGCAUGUUCUGGAUGACAGAACCAGGAAAGGGUCUGGACUCUUGAUUGGGAGGCUGUGGACUAUUGAGAAAUUUAUAAGAGAAUUUGUGCCCAGGCCAAUCUGGGUGUGGGGAAAGGGCUGGAAUCAGGACCCAGACUUCCUUGGCCAGCUAUUUCAAGCAAGUAAGGAACUUGACAAACUAUGUGAUCCUUAUAAAACCUCUGACGAUUUGGGAGCCAGUGAGAAGAUGAAGCCCAACAGAUGUGAUUUGGGAUUAGCUGCUGACCUAAUAGCUGCUUUUUGCUAUUCAGUACUGAACACUCUUGUACCUGUCUCCAGCUUCAGUGACAUAAGGAAGCUGUAUACUGCCAAGUAAAGGCAAGGCUCAUCUUAAUGGUCCCAUUGUUUAGAACCAUAAGGUGAGCAGCUGGAAAGACUCCAGAGAAGUAACUCCACCUUGUAGGACACAGGAAUUGGGGAAGAGGAAGUAAUGGAGAAGCCAUGCAUAAGCACCAUAGUAAUUAUUCAUGUACCUGACUCUUAGCUGAGGGGACCUGCUGGGAGGAGGGGAGAUGGGAGUGGGAAAUGAGGGAACAGUAUGGGAAAAUCUGCUCUAUACUGAAUGUUUGUGUCCCUUCAAAGUGCAUGUGUUGAAACCCAGUCCCCAGUGUGCUGAUAUUUGGAGGUGGGACCUUUGGGAGGUGAUUAGGUCAUGAGGGUGGAGCCCUCGUGAAUGAGAUUAGUGCCCUUAUAAAAGAGACCCCAGAGCUCCCCCACCACUUCUGCCCUGUUGGACAUAGUGAGAGGACAGCGGUGUGUGCACCAGGAAGCAGGCUCUCACCAGACGCUAGAUCUGCUGGUGCCUUGAUUCUGGACUUCUCAGCUUCCAAAACGCACGUGGGAUCUUGGUUCCCUGACCAGAGGUCAAACCUGCACCCCUAAAAUUGGAAGCAUGGAGUCUUAACCAUUGGACCACCAGGGAAACUCCACAGAGGUGUACUUUUAAAUGAUAGAUUUAAUGGCAUGUGAAUUAUUUCUAUAAAGAAAGCUAAGUGCCAAAAAAUUGAUGCUUUUGAACUGUGGUGUUGGAAAAGACUUUUGAGAGUCCCUUGGACUGCAAGGAGACCAAACCAGUUAA